rnacentral:rRNA from 1 species
GACGAACGCUGGCGGCGUGCUUAACUCAUGCAAGUCGAACGGAAAGGCCCUGCUUUUGUGGGGUGCUCGAGUGGCGAAUGGGUGAGUAACACGUGAGUAACCUGCCCUUGACUUUGGGAUAACUUCAGGAAACUGGGGCUAAUACCGGAUAGGAGCUCCUGCUGCAUUGUGGGGGUUGGAAAGUUUCGGCGGUCGGGGAUGGACUCGCGGCUUAUCAGCUUGUUGGUGGGGUAGUGGCUUACCAAGGCUUUGACGGGUAGCCGGACUGAGAGGGUGACCGGCCACAUUGGGACUGAGAUACGGCCCAGACUCCUACGGGAGGCAGCAGUGGGGAAUAAUGCAGAAUGGGCGGAAGCCUGAUGCAGCAACGCCGAGGGCGGGAUGACGGCCUUCGGGUUGUAAACCGCUUUCGCCGGUGACGAAGCGUGAGUGACGGUAAUGGGGACAGAAGCACCGGCUAACUACGUG